CAAGACGUAGCUAAGAUAGUUAAAGCACCUCCCUUACACCGAGGUGACGCCCGUGCAAUUCGAGCCGUCUUGA
rnacentral:tRNA from 1 species